rnacentral:rRNA from 1 species
AACGCUAGCGGCAGGCCUAACACAUGCAAGCCGAGGGGUAAGGCCCUUUCGGGGGCACACGACCGGCGCACGGGUGAGUAACGCGUAUGCAACCUGCCCACAGCAGUGGGGAUAGCCCCGGGGNAAACCCCGGAUUAAUGCCCCAUAACACCAUUUUACCGCAUGGCAAGAUGGUCAAAACUACGGUGGCUGUGGAUGGGCAUGCGUGCCAUUAGCUAGUUGGUAGGGUAACGGCCUACCAAGGCACCGAUGGCUACGGGGUCUAAAAGGAUGGUCCCGCACACUGGUACUGAGACACGGACCAGACUCCUACGGGAGGCAGCAGUGAGGAAUAUUGGUCAAUGGGUGAGAGCCUGAACCAGCCAUGCCGCGUGCAGGAUGACUGCCCUAUGGGUUGUAAACUGCUUUUCUACGGGAAGAACCCCCCUGACGUGUCAGGGGCUGACGGUACCGUAGGAAUAAGCAUCGGCUAACUCCGUGCCAGCAGCCGCGGUAAUACGGAGGAUGCAAGCGUUAUCCGGAUUUAUUAGGUUUAAAGGGUGCGUAGGCGGGGCCUCAAGUCAGUGGUGAAAUCCUGUGGCUCAACCAUAGAAUUGCCAUUGAUACUGUUGCCCUUGAGUGCAGACGAGGUAGGCGGAAUGUGUAAUGUAGCGGUGAAAUGCUUAGAUAUUACACAGAACACCGAUUGCGUAGGCAGCUUACCAGACUGUAACUGACGCUAAUGCACGAAAGCGUGGGGAGCGAACAGGAUUAGAUACCCUGGUAGUCCACGCCGUAAACGAUGAUCACUCGCUGUAUGCGAUAUAUUGUAUGUGGCUGAGCGAAAGCAUUAAGUGAUCCACCUGGGGAGUACGUUCGCAAGAAUGAAACUCAAAGGAAUUGACGGGGGCCCGCACAAGCGGUGGAACAUGUGGUUUAAUUCGAUGAUACGCGAGGAACCUUACCUGGACUUAAAUGCAGGCCGACGGCCCCUGAAAGGGGGCUUCCCUCCGGGGCGGCCUACAAGGUGCUGCAUGGCUGUCGUCAGCUCGUGCCGUGAGGUGUCGGGUUAAGUCCCAUAACGAGCGCAACCCUUAUUCUUAGUUGCCAGCGGGUAAAGCCGGGGACUCUAAGGAGACUGCCACCGUAAGGUGUGAGGAAGGUGGGGAUGACGUCAAGUCAGCACGGCCCUUACGUCCAGGGCUACACACGUGUUACAAUGGCCAGUACAAAGGGCAGCUACAUGGCAACAUGGUGCAAAUCUCAAAAACUGGUCUUAGUUCGGAUUGGAGUCUGCAACCCGACUUCAUGAAGCUGGAAUCGCUAGUAAUCGCGCAUCAGCAACGGCGCGGUGAUACGUUCCCGGGCAUUGUACACACCGCCCGUCAAGCCAUGGAAGCCGGGGGUAC